CCAGACUCCUACGGGAGGCAGCAGUGAGGAAUAUUGGUCAAUGGUCGGGAGACUGAACCAGCCAAGCCGCGUGAGGGAGGAAGGUACAGAGUAUCGUAAACCUCUUUUGUCAGGGAACAAAGGCGGGGACGUGUCCCCGGAUGAGUGUACCUGAAGAAAAAGCAUCGGCUAACUCCGUGCCAGCAGCCGCGGUAAUACGGAGGAUGCGAGCGUUAUCCGGAUUUAUUGGGUUUAAAGGGUGCGUAGGCGGAACAUUAAGUCAGCGGUAAAAUCGAGGGGCUCAACCCCUUUAAGCCGUUGAAACUGGUGAUCUUGAGUGAGUGAGAAGUAUGCGGAAUGCGGGGUGUAGCGGUGAAAUGCAUAGAUAUCACGCAGAACUCCGAUUGCGAAGGCAGCAUGCCGGCUCCACACUGACGCUGAGGCACGAAAGGGUGGGUAUCGAACAGGAUUAGAUACCCCCGUAC
rnacentral:rRNA from 1 species